rnacentral:rRNA from 1 species
GGUUUCCGUAGGUGGAACCUGCGGAAGGAUCAUUA